GUCCACGCCCUAAACGAUGCGAACUAGUCGUUGGGGGAGCAAUCCCUUAGUGACGCAGCUAACGCGUGAAGUUCGCCGCCUGGGGAGUACGGUCGCAAGAUUAAAACUCAAAGGAAUUGACGGGGGCCCGCACAAGCGGUGGAUGAUGUGGAUUAAUUCGAUGCAACGCGAAAAACCUUACCUACCCUUGACAUGCCAGGAAGCCCGAUGAAAGUUGGGUGUGCUCGAAAGAGAGCCUGGACACAGGUGCUGCAUGGCUGUCGU
rnacentral:rRNA from 1 species